UACGUAGGGUGCGAGCGUUAAUCGGAAUUACUGGGCGUAAAGUGUGCGCAGGCGGCGCCGCAAGUCGAGUGUGAAAGCCCCGGGCUUAACUUGGGAAUUGCGCUCGAAACUAUGGUGCUGGAGUGUGGCAGAGGAAGGUGGAAUUCCGACGUGUAGCGGUGAAAUGCGUAGAGAUGUGGAGGAACACCGAUGGCGAAGGCAGCCUUCUGGGCCAACACUGACGCUCAUGCACGAAAGCGUGGGGAGCAAACAGG
rnacentral:rRNA from 1 species